CGAAAGGAAAUGAAUUUAAACAUUAGAAACAAAAGAAAGAAAACACCUAAACGCUCCAACGAUCUAAGUUGGACAGCAAGCACGUCCAAGCACUUUCUUUCCCUUCCUUUGCUACGGCACAAGGUGUUGGUGAGUGUUUGAAGGUUUGUUUGUAUGGAGGAAUGGAUGUAAAGAUGAAUGGAUAUGUUUGGGUGAAGGUUGUGUGGAAAUAGGAGUGAAUGAUCUAACAAAGUAUGAACUCAAUUUAUGUUACACACACUUCCUUUUAUAGAGGAAGUGCAUGGCAAUGGAGGGGAACAUGGAGUGGUGUAGCAAUUGAGUGCAAUGAUACAUAAAAUUUGAAAUGAUGGAGGGAACAAGGAAUGGUGUAGCAAUUGAGUGCAAUGAUUCAAUGUAAUGAUGCAUGAAAUCUGAAAUGAUGGAGGGAACAAGGAAUGGUGUAGCAAUUGAGUGCAUCAAUGAGUGCAAGGAAGUGAAAGGAUAUUGUGCACAUGGUAGACAAAGGAAAGGAAGUGGAAUGAUGCAACAAAUGAGUCAAUGGAGGGAACAUGGAUGAUGAUGCACGGCAUAGGAAUCCAAAGGGAGUGCAAUGGUGGUGCACGACAAUGAUGGAAAGGUGAAUGGUGGAGUGACACCCCUUUGUGGCUGAUCUCUUUGUCAUUUUUACAUUAAUUCUUCUUUCUCUUUAACACAUUCCUAGCCUCUUUAGUCUUCAAUUUUGUCCAUCCACCUUGCUCCAUGCAUGUGCUAUUCAUUCCAAGCCCAAAACUGCUCCAAAAUGCAUCUUAUUGCUUUAUAAGGCCUAUGGACCUACAAACACACGAAAAUAGCUUAAAAUACAUAAUUUACUAAGAAAUAACAACAUAAAUGCAUGAGAACAAGCUAACUCAGUCGCAUAAAUAUGCUCCUAUCACUCAUCAAUCAUGGCUAGCAUAUAAGUCGGAGUCACCUUUAGUGACCUGUACGACAUAUUCAUAUCUCAUCAUAUAUCUCAUAAAUUCUACCACAUUAUAUACUCACCUGAACUUACCUUAGCCUCCGCAUUGGUGUGCAACACUGUGCAAGGUUGUACUAAAUCACAUACUAAAAUGUAGACUAAUUAUGGGAUGGCAUUUAUAAAACAUAAUCCCCAAUUUCUCGUUUCCUUGUAUGUUGAUUUAUAACCAACAUUUAUUCACCCAAAACAUAGGGUUAAAUCUCACGGUUUUCACCAGAUUCCUUCACAUUGCUCAUUUUCCCAAACAAAGCUUUUGUCUCGAU
rnacentral:lncRNA from 1 species